AGCCACCUCCCUCCCCGCUUUCCCCUCUAUCCACUCCGACGUGCCGCCCACCAGGAUCGAUCCGUUGGUCGCUCCGCUUGCAGCUCCCUCCCUGUACGCCGCGCCUCACUCCCACGCCGGCAUCCACCCUUCCUCCCGCCGCACACCACUCAAGCCGCAGCGGCCACCUCCUUCCCUCCUUUCCGCUUCACCCUCCUUCUCUAUACUCAUGCUGCUUGCCACGACUACUUCCCAAGGGAGUAGUGCCCGGUGGUGGCGGGGUUGGGGAUCGGUGUCCGGCUCAGAGGUGUUCGGCCACCUCGAUCCGGAGGCCAUGUCAUCGGUGGCGCAUCAAGUGGAUAGGUUGCAACGUCGACAGUAGCCUGAGUACAACUGAAUCUGUCCAAGAAGGCCAUAUGGAGGCUUCCUUUCCAAUUGCUCCUGACUACAGGCGGCUGACGCUAUCUGUCGACUUGAAGGUCAUUAUGUGGCUACAGUCUACGGGCAAGAGAUUCUAAUCGGUACGCAUGAAGCUCGACAUUUGGGGCAUAAUAUAUGUAACCCUGUUGUAUUUUUCACCUCUCCUAUUUUAUUUUACUACUUGCUUGCAAAGGUCAGGAUAUAUUUUUUAUCAACAUUCUCAUUCCCGAGCCUCUGCUUUCCGAGAGAAGAGAAACCCAGCAGUUCAAAAUCUGGACCCCUUGGUUAUAACAAACACCAGCUUCAGACAUUACAAGAAACUGGAGAAAUACAUACCAGUGCCUAAAGCCAAACGAUGAACAGCGCGCCCUCGAGCAACAUACAGAAGGUUGAGCGCCAGAUGGACAAAAUAGGCUCUGAUGAAACAGUGUGGCACAUCAUCAGUUAGAAAAUAAUUCAGGUGUCUCAAAAUUCUUUCGCACAAAUCUACGGUAUUUCUACACUGAAAAACUAUAUCUGCUGCAGAUGCAUGUGAUAACAUCUCGGGUUACAAUUGACAAUUUAAAUCUCCAAUCAUUCUCAUGUUUGUCUUUGCAAUUGUUUUAACCUGAGGCCUUUGAUGAAUUGGAAGCAGAUUGCGGUAAAAAAUAAAUCUGGGUAAUCUUUAUGAUCCAUCAUGUACUCAAUAUGUCUCUUAAUCUUUGCUGCAAUCAGUGAUAACAAGUUCAUUCGUUCAUGUAGUAGUCUCAUGUUUUGCCAUUUUGGAACAGAAGGAGUUCAAUAAGUUUUUCUUAUGGUUAUUAGUUAUCUACCUAGCACCCUAUGAAUAAUUUCCGCUGUCUCUUCUUGAUAGGUAUGAUAUAUGCUAUAUUCAUACUGUUCUUUUCCGUUAUAAAGGAUUAAAAUAUGACAUACAUAUUGCACUGUGGUCCUAUAUCCUUUACCUUGAUGUUCCUGUGAGGGAGGUAAAUACAGAUCCCAAAUUCUUGGUUUCUCUUAAUUCCCAAUUUCUUGAACCCUUUUAUUUAGUGAGUCUGCUUUUGAUUAUUAAUUUUGAACCAAUAUCCAUCCUAGAUUAGGAUCAAACAAUAAGUAUUGAGAGAAGCUUUGAUUUAUACUUUAAUUAUUGCUACAUGUGACAUGUCCUCUUUGCAGAUUCUUUUUUAGUGUCUAUCAAUAAGUUUUUGUUGAAAAUAGAAAUAGGUGAGCAUUCUUGCUGAAGUAAUAAGUGUAUAUAAUGUUGUCACCUGACAUUGUUAUUUACUAACGCUAAAUUUAUUGGCACACUACCAACUAUCUUAUACCUACAGUUUUAUUCCUGCUAAUAUAUGCUUAUUCUUCUUACAUUCAUGUAACAUGGUCAUCUCUAUUUUGUUCUAGCUACCAUAUAUCUCCUUCACAGUAGCAUAUACAUGUGAUGCUCAAACUGCUGGAACAAAGAUUGAAGCGUGCAUACGGAGUUGUCAACCAUGGCGUUUUUUUUCUAUGUACAAGCUGUCUUUCAGGACAGUAUUUUUUCCAAUGGUUCUGAUCAUCUGUUGUAGAUAUACCUAUAUGCAAAGAGUUGGAGCUAUAUCUCUCUGUGCAACAAACUAUGCAUAGUAAAUUGAUUUGUAAACAAGGAAUCUGGUUAUCCAUUCAUUUUACUUAAAUUUCGCCAUCCUGUUUUGUGCAGGUGUUUGUAGUAGAUUCAACAUCACAUCACUACAGGAGAAGCUAAUUUGCUUCUGGCGACGCGCGGGGGAUUUGUCUAGUUGACAGAGUGCCCAGUACCAGUUGUUGUUUUCUGCAUGUUUUUUACAUCGCGGGAAAUCAAUAUCAAACGGAGUCCAAACGCAACGCAACUCCUGGAGGAAUUCUUUUGGGCCAGAAGAAAGCCAAUGGGCGAAGGAAGCACCUGAGGGGCUGCUCGAGGGGAGUAGCACCCACCAGGGUGCUCCAGGAGGCCAAGGCGCGCUCUGGGAGGUUGUGCCCACCUCGGGUGCCCCCUGAACCGCCUCUUUGGUCUAUAAAUACCACAAUAUUCUAGAAACCCUAGGGGAGUCGAGGAAAUAUUGAUUCAGCCGCCGCAGAGUCCAGA